CUAGGCACACAGCUCAGUAACAUGUGGCUAACCUGCCCUUGGGACAGAGACAACCCCGGGAAACUGGGGCUAAUCCCUGAUAGGCGAAGAACUCUGGAAUGAGUCUUCACUCAAAGGGCGUUUAGAUCAUGCUUCUAGGCGUUGCCCAAGGAUGGGGCCGCGACCGAUCAGGUUGUUGGUGAGGUAAUGGCUCACCAAGCCUCUAACCGGUGCGGGCCGUGAGAGCGGGAGCCCGGAGAUGGGCACUGAGACAAGGGCCCAGGCCCUACGGGGCGCAGCAGUCGCGAAAACUUUGCAAUACACGAAAGUGUGACAGGGUCAUCCCGAGUGCCGUCCGCUGAGGAUGGCUUUUACCCAGUCUAGAACGCUGGGGGAAUAAGGAGAGGGCAAGUCUGGUGUCAGCCGCCGCGGUAAUACCAGCUCUCCGAGUGGUGUGGAUGUUUAUUGGGCCUAAAGCAUCCGUAGCUGGCUGGGCAAGUCCCCUGUUAAAUCCACCGAUUCAAUCGUUGGUUUGCGGGGGAUACUGCUCGGCUAGGGGACGAGAGAGGCCGACGGUAUUUCCGGGGUAGGGGUGAAAUCCUAUAAUCCCGGGAAGACCACCAGUGGCGAAGGCUGUCGGCUAGAACGCGCCCGACGGUGAGGGAUGAAAGCUGGGGGAGCGAACCGGAUUAGAUACCCGGGUAGUCCCAGCUGUAAACGAUGCAGGCUAGGUGUUUGGGCGGCCACGUGCCGCUCUAGUGCCGCAGGGAAGCUGUUAAGCCUGCCGCCUGGGGAGAACGCCGCGAAGCUGAAC
rnacentral:rRNA from 1 species